rnacentral:rRNA from 1 species
UACGGGGGGAGCAAGCGUUGUUCGGAUUUACUGGGCGUAAAGGGCGCGUAGGCGGUAGCACAAGUCAGUUGUGAAAUCUCCGGGCUUAACUCGGAAAGGUCAACUGAUACUGUGCGACUAGAGUGCAGAAGGGGCAACUGGAAUUCUCGGUGUAGCGGUGAAAUGCGUAGAUAUCGAGAGGAACACCUGCGGCGAAGGCGGGUUGCUGGGCUGACACUGACGCUGAGGCGCGAAAGCCGGGGGAGCGAACGGG